rnacentral:rRNA from 1 species
UACGAAGAGGGCUAGCGUUGCUCGGAAUCACUGGGCGUAAAGCGCACGUAGGCGGCUUUUUAAGUCAGGGGUGAAAUCCUGGAGCUCAACUCCAGAACUGCCUUUGAUACUGGGAAGCUUGAGUCCGGAAGAGGUGAGUGGAACUCCGAGUGUAGAGGUGAAAUUCGUAGAUAUUCGGAAGAACACCAGUGGCGAAGGCGGCUCACUGGUCCGGUACUGACGCUGAGGUGCGAAAGCGUGGGGAGCAAACAGG